CCUACGGGAGGCUGCAGUGGGGAAUAUUGCACAAUGGGCGCAAGCCUGAUGCAGCCAUGCCGCGUGUGUGAAGAAGGCCUUCGGGUUGUAAAGCACUUUCAGCGGGGAGGAAGGCGGUGAGGUUAAUAACCUCAUCGAUUGACGUUACCCGCAGAAGAAGCACCGGCUAACUCCGCGCCAGCGGCCGCGGUAAUACGGAGGGUGCAAGCGUUAAUCGGAAUUACUGGGCGUAAAGCGCACGCAGGCGGUCUGUCAAGUCGGAUGUGAAAUCCCCGGGCUCAACCUGGGAACUGCAUUCGAAACUGGCAGGCUAGAGUCUUGUAGAGGGGGGUAGAAUUCCAGGUGUAGCGGUGAAAUGCGUAGAGAUCUGGAGGAAUACCGGUGGCGAAGGCGGCCCCCUGGACAAAGACUGACGCUCAGGUGCGAAAGCGUGGGGAGCAAACAGGAUUAGAUACCCUGGUAGUC
rnacentral:rRNA from 1 species